GUGUGCGAUCAUACCAGCACUAAUGCAACCGAUCCCAUCAGAACUCCGCAGUGAAGCGUGCUUGGGAGAGAGUAGUACUAGGAUGGGUGACCUCCCUGGAAGUCCUCACGUCGCACCCC
rnacentral:rRNA from 1 species